AUCGCGACAAAAUCACCGUGCAGUUACGCCGAACAUGCGUGUUAAGUACUGACUCGAAGAUUUUUCUCAACGGCGAAAGAAACGCGCUUGGAAUCGUCAAUGUCAUCGGGUUAUCGGGCCGUGGCCGUCAAUGUUUAAGGCUUGAACACCGUGCAAGUUGCGAGUUGUCAGUUGCUCGGUUAGUUGAGAAGAAUGCGCACAUUCUACACGAUUCUCGUGCUCGUCAUCAUCUCCGCGAGCCUCGCUGAAUGUUGGUCUUUCUCGAACGUCGCGGCGUCCAUCGAUAAGUUAAUACGGCCGCAAAAUGACACCUCGAAAGUGUCACAUGUCGGCGGGAAUGGUAGCGCUACGCCGACGGCGUCCCCAGAGGUCACGGUGCAAGGCAGAAUAAUAUUCGUUCCACGAAGGAAUAACGUCGUGUGUCAAGCGGGUCAGCAAGUCGACCGGCGUGGCAAGUGUAGAAUAGUAUGGUGAAGCUCGACGGGUGACAGGCAAGGUACAUUUUAAGAAUCUUUAUAGAUAAUUCAAGUAUUCCUGUUUACGAGAGACGACGUUCCCGGGAGAAAGCAGGUCCACGGGAUUGAAAAGGAACAAGAAUGUUAUUCUGAUCGUCGGCAAUAAUUAAUGGGAGCCAUGGAUCUACGUAGGAUGUACCUAACUAAUUAAUGAUACAUAUAAGAUCUGUAGUCCGCCGAGUCCAAUUGGCAAUUUGUGAAUUUCAUUCGAAACGCAAUUAAGAUGUUAAGGCCACGAACUAAAUUAUUCUGGAUGAAUAUAGUCUAAGGGCUCUGAUAAUAAAACAAUAAAAUCAAUAGAAAGGGAAGGCAGAAAAGGGUGAUGCAGAGGAUGUUAGAAGCGACGAAACAUCAGUUUAAUGUGUAAGAACCUUCACAAUAGUCAAACGUUUCAAUCAACUCCAUGUGAUCCUUUUCAAUGACAUAUGACAUAUAACAUAUAAGUAAUCUAUUUUGUUGAUCGAAACGUUUGAUUAUUGUGAAGGUUCUUAUACAUUAAACUGCUAUUUAUUCGCUUCUAACUUCCCUUUCUAUUAAAUUAUUCUGUUGCGCAUAUUUCUUCCUAGACACGCGAGAGAUAAACUAUAAUGUACUUUUAUAUCGGGCGUGUGCAACAGUUAAAAUCAAAGAUUAUAGAGUAUUAAAUUUAUUUACUAAAGAAUAAAUAGAGUAUUCUAUCGUCCCCGUGAAACAAGCUGCAUUCAUUGUUUCUCUUUCUGAACGUAUACAUACAAAAGUGUAUUCAAGAUUAUUAAUUAGAUGUGUGUUAAAUGAUACUUUACGUAUCUAAUCUAAUGAUGUAAAAUAUACGAGACACUAUGCGCGAUAAUUCGCACAGUUUAAUUUUAAAUUAAUAACGCGUAAAGCGUAUCGGAUGAAUAAUUAAGAUAUUCAUGUAUACAUAUGUAUGUAAAAUAAAUGAAGUAUUUCAAAUA